rnacentral:rRNA from 1 species
AUUGAACGCUGGCGGCAUGCCUUACACAUGCAAGUCGAACGGCAGCACGGGUGCUUGCACCUGGUGGCGAGUGGCGAACGGGUGAGUAAUACAUCGGAACAUGUCCUGUAGUGGGGGAUAGCCCGGCGAAAGCCGGAUUAAUACCGCAUACGAUCUACGGAUGAAAGCGGGGGACCUUCGGGCCUCGCGCUAUAGGGUUGGCCGAUGGCUGAUUAGCUAGUUGGUGGGGUAAAGGCCUACCAAGGCGACGAUCAGUAGCUGGUCUGAGAGGACGACCAGCCACACUGGGACUGAGACACGGCCCAGACUCCUACGGGAGGCAGCAGUGGGGAAUUUUGGACAAUGGGCGAAAGCCUGAUCCAGCAAUGCCGCGUGUGUGAAGAAGGCCUUCGGGUUGUAAAGCACUUUUGUCCGGAAAGAAAUACUUGGCCCUAAUACGGGCGGGGGAUGACGGUACCGGAAGAAUAAGCACCGGCUAACUACGUG